UCACGCCCCGAGCUCCGCCUAUUUGGUCGGAUUCGGACACGCCGACAGACCGCCGAACGGACAGAGCCUCCCCUGUACAUUCUAGGCGUCACAAUCUAUACAAUGCAAUACAAGAGGUUCCAAACAGGAACUGUAUUCAACCAUAGAUUGCAUAAGUAUCAAAAACAUAAAAUGUUAACUAUACUAUUACAAGCAUUCAUCUCAGAAUUUUUACUUUUACAAUAUUACAUAAGCCUUUAAAUUAUUACAACUUACACACUUUUACUACAAUUUUGUUUCAUUCAUACUGAUACGCUGAGCUUGACCUCUUCAGGGUAUUGCUAUCUCGGUCUCAGUGGUGGGGCACUAUCUACGGAGCUACGCCCUGUCCUCGCGCCGCCACGCCGCUCGCGUGCAACCUGUACCCCAAAA
rnacentral:lncRNA from 1 species